GUGCUGUAGCUCAGUUGGUAGCUUGCGAAGGCGAAGCCUUUGGAAGCCUUGGAGCGAAAGGACUGAAAAUCCUUGUGUCCCCGGUUCGAUUCCUGGUGGCACCA
rnacentral:tRNA from 1 species